ACCAUACUGUCUUGAUGACUCUAGUUUAUAAGAAAUCUUGAAAUCUGGUGGUGCUAGUUCUCCAACAUUGUUCUUUUCCAAGUUGUUUUGGCUAUUCCAUAUCCGUUGCAUUUCCAUGAAGAUUUUAGAAUCAAUUUCUCAAUUUCUACCAAAAAGCCUAAGAGAAUAUGGAUCGAGAUUGUAUUAAAUCUAUAGAUAGAUUUGAGAGAAUCAACAUCUUAACACCUUAUCAUCUGAUUCAUAAACAUAGUAUAUCUAUCCAUUUAUUUAUUCUUUCUAAUCUCUUAUCACUAUUUUGUAGUGUUUAGGCCUUGUCAUAUUUUGUCAGAUUAUUACACCUUUUUAUUUGCAAAUAAUAUUUUAUAAAAUUUCCAUUUCUAAUUGCUUGUUAGUAUUCUAUAGAAAUGAAAUUGAUUUUACAUGUUUUUUAUUCUUCAAACUUGCUGCUAUUUUUUAAUAGAUUACGUUGACUUUUAUAUAUUUAAACAAUUUUAUACUAAUAGUUUUAUCUAUCACUAUGCUUGUUGUUUAUGGCUGUGAACACUUAACAUUGAUUUUGUCUAAAGUCAGCUGUGAAGAAUUUAACUGUUCUAUAACAAUUACCAUUUAGAUCUAUAACAUAUAAUGCAUAAUAUUGCAAGAAUUAUGGCUGGGACUCAAAUGCAUUUAGAAAUGAAAUAACUGUCUUUUGCAAGUGACCAUGACUAACUUGAAAUUUUAAACUGUUCCCUUGUAUUGCUAAUGCUCAAUAAAUAUUAAAUAUUAGUACAGUUAAAUGGGCUGAAACUCUUCUAUCUGGUAUUGAUUUACCUUCAUAUAACAUUUGUCUUCUAAAGAAACAGAAUUAUACCUUGAGGUAAUCAGACUCUCUUUUAGGUCAUUAUCUUCUCUGUUCUUUAUCCUUUGGAACAUUAUAAAGAACUUUAAUUAGAAUUAACAAUAGUCUUUGGCCUUUAUCAAAGUGCAUUUAAUGAAGGUGUUUGGGUUAUUUUCUCCUAAAUAAUUUCAAGUCUUAAAACUUUGUUCUUUUAGGAUGUUUAUGUAGAAUUAAUCAUAGUCAAUAAAUUAGUUUCAGGAAAAAAUCUGUUCAAAGACAGAUUUAUAUUGAAAGCAUUCUCUUUCUAUCUGCCUAUUUAAAGACAUGAAAAUGCAAAAUCAUGCUAACUUUCAUGGAAUUUUUCAGGUAAGUAGUUUCUUUUGAUCUCUUUUGGGGAAUCAGCUUUGUAAUAACAAAGUUUUUUAUUUCAAGUAUUAGGCAGUUAGAUAAGGAUUUCUUUUGAAAAAUCAUUCCUAUCCUAUACAUCUGGUUUAGGCAGUCCUGGGUGUUCCCAUAGCUUUCUGUUUUUCUCUGAUCAUGACAUUACUCAUUCUGUAUUAAGGUUGCCUGUUUACAUGUUGGUAAUCUCUUGACUGUCAGCUCUGUGCAGCCAAGGGUCCCAUCUCCUUCCUGCUGCCUAGCAUAGCAUGGAAGACAGAAGGCAUUCUAAAAAUACCACUACUGAACAAAUGAGUUACUUUAAGACAUGCUGUUUCAAACCCAGUUUUUAGUAAUUAGAUUUUAUGGACAGUGUUAACUCAGUAAGUCAUUUAGAAUUUUAGUGUGUACAUUUACGUGUUAUAUAAGGAAAUUCCAGUAUUAGUAGGUAAGCCAAUUAUAAUUUUUUUUAAAAUUUAGGAUAUUUUUAUGGCCAGGAGAUUAAAUAUUUUCAACAACAUGUGAUGCUAAUACUCAAAAUAGAAUGUUAAUUGAGAAUCCUUUGCUCUUCUAAGUCACUAUCUACAAUUAGCAUAUUGCAAAAUUUUUAUAAUAUUUCUUCCUAUCAUACUUUUUACAAAGUAUGCAAAUAUUAAUAAUAAAUGCAUUUUCAAAGGGAAGGAAAGUAGAUAAAUUUUAGCUGGCUGUAUUUGUUUAUAAUUCUAGUUUAAAUUAAAUGGAAAUAAAGUUUGAACUAAUUAUUAAAAUGUGUUCUUUCCCUAUUUGUAGAUGUUGCUAUUCAUACAACCCUUCUCCCUGAUUAUACAGUUCAGGUAUGAGAAACAAAAGGUAAAUUCCCUUCACCAUUGGUUAUCUAAUAUUUAGACCAUCUACUUCUGCUUUAAUUACUCAAAGUUUCUAAGCUUUCCAGAUGAAGGAUGCUUUUUGAAUUUUCUAUUCAAUAUCAUGGAACUAUGGCUUUAGCACCAAGCACAGAAUUAUAAAUUUCAAAAAGAAUUUAGUGUUGACUCCCAACCUCUUUAUUUUUCAGAAAAAUCACAUAAUAUUUUUGGAAGCUCUAUGAUAAUAAAAUAAUUUCUUAUCUUUAGGGAUUUAGUAUUUAUCUAAAUCUGCUCAACAGAAAUCAUCCUUUUUGAAUGAAAAACAUGACAAUUUUAAAAAGAAGAAACCCCCCUGUUUGCUUGAGCCAAGGUCAUCUAUAACUCUCAAUAUCAAUCAGGAUGCAUAUUUAUUUAAAUAUUUGAAUGUAUUUGAUCUUGAAUUGGUAAAGGAGCAAUACAUUAGUGUAAAUCAUAAGAACUUGGGACAGGAAUAGGCUACUAGAAAUUUUGGGGAUAUUAGUUUGGGUUAAGUUCCAUAUUGCAAAGAAAUGUAGGAAAAGUGCUUAAAGAGAGAUUGUAUAUGUCUUAGUUUGGGUUAUUUCAGAGCAGAGCCUGAGAUAAGGAUUUUGGUGCAAAGAUUAUUUAGACAGUGAUUCCUGAAACAGGAGUUAGAGAUCAGGGAGGGAGAGAAAAAGACAGGGAAAGCCUGAAUGCCAGAGUGUUAUCAAAGUUGUUAUGGUGAGUAAUGAGCCUUAGAUUCCACUGGGACCUCUGAGAAGUUUACCGAGUGCCUCUGGGAAUUUUUCAUUUGAAGGAAGAGGCAAAACAUUUAUCUUGAGGGACCUGUCCCUGUUGGUUAAAGGCUGUUUCAAGGGUCCCCGCCUGCCCUGUGCUUCCAAAUAGUACCUGUGAGAAAUAACUAGGCUUCUGAAGUAUCUGAGUAGCAAUUGAGACUACAGCAGAAGGAUGCACAAUUCUUGCUGCAGAUUAGAUACUGGAGGCCUGAAGUGAGACUGUGCCCACCCAGAACUGUCCACUAGAGCUAUGGCUAAAAUCAAGUGCAGGGAUGUGAGGUACCAGCAGCAUUUGGACUCAAACAAGACAUUACUUUAUGCAGCCUGGAGUUCUAACACCAAAACAGUACAGUAGAGAUUAUAUAGGAGAGGGCAGAGAGGGGAAACAGAAACUAGAUUUGUAGGUUCUCAGCAACAGAAAAAUCUUAAAUCACUUGAUUCCUGUCUCACCUUGUGUUUUGGGAUUUCUCUUUUCAGUGUAAGCAAGUCACCAAAAUGGUGGUUGUGAUGGCACAUGUGGGAUGGUUUUAAUUUAUAUUAGAAAAGUAGAAUUUGAUCCUAAAAAGUACAUGGAGGAGUUUCCACUGUUAAGGAUGUGGCAUUUUUUUCUGCAGCUGCUUGGGUAAAUGCUGAGAUCCCUGGUGCAGAUCCCUGGCCUGGCAUGGUGGAUUAAGGAUCCAGCAUUGCCACAGCCACAGCUGUGUCACAGCUGUGGCUUGGAUUCAAUCCCUGACUUGGGAAUUUCCAUAUGCCAUGUGUAUAGAUAGAUAGAUAGAUAGAUAGAUAGAUAGAUAGAUAAAUAAAUAAAUAAAUAAAUAGUAAGGGGAAAUAAAAGACAUGGACUCAAAGAAAAAAAAAACUAGGACAAAAUAGUAGAGAAGUUGAAACAGCAGAACAGAAAAAUAGAAAAAAAAUUGUAAAAAUGAUGGCUGAGCUAUGGAACAAAACUGAAGAUAAGAGUAAAGCCAUUACAAAAAUUAAAACCACAUUGGAAGCAGUAAGUAGAAUGUAUGAUGAAAAAAGAUCCCAUAAUAAUUUAGAAUGCUAAUAAAUACUUAAUUGCUUAAUGCUAAUAUUUAUUUACUACAUACUAGGAACUCUUCUGAGGGUCUUACUUUUAUGAGUCUCACUCAGUAUUCAGAAAAAUCCUAUUAGUUACAUUAUUCUUAUCUAUGUUCUAUAGAUGAGGAAACUGAGGCACAGACAUCAUGCCACAGCUACAUCUCUUUAUUAGGAGUAUAGGCUAUAUCAAAUUAAAUUAUAUAUGUGCAAAAUCUUUUCAACUCUGUGUUCUCACUGCUAGAUAAUGUAGAUGCAAAAACAUGUUUGAGGAGACAAUGUGGACAAAGCAAUGAAAACAGCCAUAAAGAUGAGAGAGUGAAGAUGCAACUUUGCUUAGUUGAUGUCUGUGAAUUUGAGCUUGAAAUAAAUACAAAAGUCAAUAACACUUUCUAUAUAAGAAAGAAGAACUGAACUUUCAAAUCUAAAUUUGGAAUGCCACAUUCUAAAAAAAAGUAGAACUAUCAGUCCUGAGGUGUAGUAUGGCAUAAAGGCAAAUGUUCAAGAUUAAAUAAAGAGUAGUAUAGUCAUCCGUCUGAAAAGGCAGUUAACUUCAAGAGGAAAAAUUAGCCCUACUCAAAUCCUUCAUAGCAGUAUGCAGUAUCAAAAGAUUGUAGAUCAUGUUUGCAGAAUUCUGAGUUUAAAAAGGUAUGAUUCCAAAAUUUAAUAAGUAGCUAACUUUUUAUCCAUUUAUACAGGCAACAGUCUGUUCUUAAAAAAGGACUCAGAGUAUGAUGCCCAUGAGAUAAUGUAGAGGGAAAAAAAUCUUAGUUAUGAAUUCUGUCAACCAACCUGUAUCAGUUAGCUUUUGCUAGGAAACAAAUCACCCCAAAAUGUAGUCACUUAAAACCAGAGCUCUUAUUUAGCUCAUGAUUAUGUGUGUAGAUCGAGCAGUUUUCCUUAUCUGGGCAACUUGAUCAAUGUCUUUGGGCUCUCAGGCAUCUGCUCUUAGCUACAUGUCUCCUGGCAGAUGGGUGAUCCAGGUGGCCUCAUUCGAAUGUCUCAUGGUUAGUUUUGGCUGUGCCAAUGAGGGUAACAGGGUCACAUGUCUCUCAUCAUCUACAGGAAUUUUUGCAGGUGGAGAUGGCAGGGGUUUCUAAAGCAGAAAUUGCAAGGCCUCCUGAGAUCUUGGGUCAGAAUCCACAUGUCAUCACUCUGCAGCAUUCCACUGGGUAAAGCAUGUCGAGAGGGAUAAAGACAUAAAUUAAUCUCUUAUAGGAGAAGUUGAAAAGUACUGGGACCAAUUUCAUCAUCUAUCACACAACUGAAAAGUUAAAAUUUAAAACAAAACAAUCCAAGGCAAUGAGGAAGCAAUAGCCUGAAAACCUACCUGUGCAUUUUGAAUUCAUAUAAAUGUAAAAGUAAAGGUAAAAAUUACAGGCAUGUUAUGUUUAGAAAUAAGAAUAUAAACUUGUAAAGGUCAAAAUAUAAAAGUAAUAAAACAAACUAGGGAAAGGUUGUUAAAAUGGAAGUAUUUACCUUACCUUUCAUAGUGUGGAAAUGAUAGUUAUUUUCUAAACUUUAUAACCUAGAAAACUGAGUUUUAAGUAUAUGAUUUAAAAUUAUGAAGGUAAACCAGUUGAAAGUAAGGAAUGGAUUGUAAAUUACCACAUUUACUAGGAGGUGGUAAAAAAGACAAAGGCAAUAUAGCAAGAGAUAGGUAACAACAAAACAAAUGAAUAAUUAAAAUCUGAAUAUAAAGCAUAGUAUGUUAAAAUAAACAUGCCAGUUAAGAAGUAAAAGGCUGUGGGACUUAAUAAAAAAUAAUGAAAAAUCAGUUGUGUCCUACACACAAUAAUCAAACACCUAUAAUAAUAACAAAAUGAAUAAACUGAUAGGAGAAAUACAUUAUAUAGGCGAACAGUUUAAUAACUAUUAUUCUGACCUUUUAUUGAGAUACAAUUGACAUAUUAGUUUGGGAAGUACAACAUAAUAAUUCAGGUUCUGUGUAUAUGGUAAAAUGAUCGCCAAAAUAAGUUUGGUUAACAUCCAUAACCACACAUAGAUACAAAUAUUUUUUUCUUGAGAUGAGAAUUUAUAAGAUUUACUCUCUGAGCAACAUUCAUUAUACAAACAAUAUUAGUAACUAUAGUCACCAUGCUGUAAAUUAUAUUUCCAUGACUUAUUUAAUAAAUAUUGUGUACCUUCAUCUGUUUCAUUCCCCCGAGUUCUUGUCAUGGCGCAGUGGAAAUGAAUCUGACUAGGAACCAUGAGGUUGCAGGUUUGAUCCCUGGCCUCACUCAUUAGGUUAAGGAUCUAGUGUUGCCAUGAGCUGUGGUGCAGGUGUACAGCUGUGGUCUAUAGCUCUAAUUAGACCCCUAGCCUGGGAAUCUCCAUAUGCCAUGGGUACAG
rnacentral:lncRNA from 1 species